UGCCAGCCGCCGCGGUAAUACGAAUGGAGCGAGCGUUGUUCGGAAUCACUGGGCGUAAAGCGUAUGUAGGCGGACUUGAAAGUCAGAAGUGAAAUCCCGGGGCUCAACCUCGGAAUUGCUUUUGAAACUUCAAGUCUGGAGUUCAGGAGAGGUUAGCGGAAUACCGAGUGUAGAGGUGAAAUUCGUAGAUAUUCGGUGGAACACCAGUGGCGAAGGCGGCUAACUGGACUGAUACUGACGCUGAGGUGCGAAAGUGUGGGGAGCAAACAGGAUUAGAUA
rnacentral:rRNA from 1 species